UAGAAUUUUAUAUUAACUUUACCUAGCGGUUAAUGCUGGUUUUUUGUUAAUAUUUGGUUGGGAGGAUUAUUAAAUUUAACAAACUUUAUAUCAUUAUAAACUUUGAUUUAAGAAAAUAUAAUGAUCUUCAAUUUGAAAUAGUUAGAGUAAAUUACCUUAGGGAUAACAGCGUAAUAUUUUUUUAUAGACCUUAUAGAAAAAAAUGGUUGCGACCUCGAUGUUGAAUUAAGAUAAAUUUUAAAUGCAGGAGUUUAAUAAUUAAGU
rnacentral:rRNA from 1 species